GCCUGGGACAGCACAGUUGGGAGAGCAUGAGGCUCUUAAUCUCAGGGUCAUGGGUUCGAGCCCCAUGUUGGGUG